rnacentral:lncRNA from 1 species
AUGUGGUUCCAGUGCUAUUGUAUAUUACUGCUGCACGCUAUCAGCUUUGCUCUAUACCUUAACUCCCCCCCGAAUUUAUGGGUAACGUGGGCCACUAAGACACAUACCACUUCCUUCUGCCUGGCCUUGGCCUCCGCCACUGAUCCCUUCCGGACAUGCUUAGUCGGGUUACCCGGAUAUAAUGCAUCCGACUUCACGAAAUUGUCCACCGCCACUUGUGGAGGACAGUCUGAUAACAGUAAAUGUACAGCCAAAUUAUUAGCUGCAUUAAACAAAACAUUACCUUGGGAUCCUCAAGAAAUCAGGCUUUUAGGUAGCAGAAUGCUAAAUAGCUCAGCAAAUGAGUCAGGAUGUGUUGAGCUAGGUGAUUACAGACAAAACGUAAAUGAUCCCACAUUUUGGCUUACACCCAGGAGUUACCCCUUCUGGAACAAAACGUAUAUGUGUGGUGCUUAUAGGACCUAUGGUUGGGGAAGAAACGACAUAAAGAUUUGGGUUAAUGACAGCGCGAAGGCAUUGCCUAGCAAUACCUAUUUGAUUUGCGGUGAUCGAGCCUGGCAAGGAAUACCUAGGUAUGCUCACGGUGGUCCAUGUUAUCUGGGAAAAUUGACUCUUUUUAUACCAAAUGUUACUGUAAUGUCACAAUUCCUUUUAAAUAAGACACGCCGCGAUAAGCGAGCUAUAGCAACCCUCACACCUGAUUGUAACGAUCAAGUAGAACUCUGGGAACCCACAGCUAAUCUUUUUGCGUCUAUUGUUCCCGGAGCGGGUGCCGCUCACGCGCUUCAAACUAUAAGUAAGCUUGCUUGCUGGAUGGUAAAACAAUCCAAUGUAACGACUCAAAUACUUAGUGAACUAACACAGGAUAUGGAAAAUCUGCGACAUCAGAUCCUUCAGAAUAGGGCUGCCAUUGAUUUUUUGCUAUUAGCCCACGGGCAUAAUUGUAAGGAUUUCGAAAGUAUGUGCUGCUUUAAUCUUUCCUCCAAUUCAGAAUCAAUUCACAAACAACUGCAAUGGCUUAAGGAUCAUACCAAAGACAUUAAAGUCUCCACUAACCCACUCGAUAUUUGGCUAUCAUCCUUUGGCAUUGGUCCGUGGUUUAAAACCAUAAUCAUGUAUGGCAUAAACAUAGGACUUAUGCUGCUGCUACUCCUGUCGAUAUUACCUUGUGUAUUCGCUUGCCUCCAAAAAAUGCUUAUUCGAUUGCUGAAUAAAAUGCAGAUUAACUAUGUCCUACUAAGAGAAGAAGGGGGAAAUGUGGGAAGUCUCACUGCAAGAUGGCUACAUGCCAGAGGGCAAUAA